rnacentral:rRNA from 1 species
AUAGCGGGAGCCCGGAGAUGGGCACUGAGACAAGGGCCCAGGCCCUACGGGGCGCAGCAGUCGCGAAAACUCCGCAAUACGCGAAAGCGUGACGGGGCUAUCCCGAGUGCCAUCCGCUGAGGAUGGCUUUUCCUUAGUAUAAAAAGCUGGGGGAAUAAGGAGAGGGCAAGACUGGUGUCAGCCGCCGCGGUAAUACCAGCUCUCCGAGUGGUAGGGAUGUUUAUUAGGCCUAAAGCAUUCGUAGCCGGCUGGGCAAGUCCCCUGUUAAACCCAACGAUUUAAUCGUUGGAUCGCGGGAGAUACUGCUCAGCUAGGAGGCGGGAGAGGUCGACGGUACUCUUGGGGUAGGGGUGAAAUCCUAUAAUCCUAGGAGGACCACCAGUGGCGAAGGCUGUCGGCU